GGGCCCAUUGACCCACUUCCUUUGCUAUGAAGUAAAUUCCUUGAUCAGAAGCAAUGCUGUGUGGAAUACCAUGAUAAUGGAUAAGACAUUCUGGAAGUCCACAGAUGGUAGUUUGUGCAGAAGUACUGCUUGCAGGGAAGUCAAGUCCAUAUCCAGAUACUGCUUCUAGCAAAUAUGAGGCAAAAGGAAGCUGGAAGAGAAACACAGAAAAAAAGAUGAUCAAAAGUCUAUAUUUUCUCCAGUUCAAAAACAUAUGCUAAAUAUCAUUAAACCAUUAGAACUCAGCUAUCUGCAACCUUGCACCCAUAAUGGUACCCUGCUGGGUCUCUUUUCAGCUGAUCUUACUGUUAACCUGAAGACUGAUGGAACAUAAUUUAAUCUACUGUGAUUCAAGAGAGUUCUUCAACAUAGUACCAAAUGAACAUCAAUCUUCAACAUACAGCUAUAGAUUGAGUACAGUUAAGACUGUCCUUAAAUAUGAAAUGCCUUGAAAAAUGUUUUAAAAA